CGGGUACGCGCCUCGUCAGCCCCGUGCUAGGCUCGACGGUUGAUGCCUCCCCAGCGAUUCCGCGGCAAUCCAUACCAGGUGCUGGACGUUCGUCCCGACGCUUCGGGCACGACCAUCAAGCGCCGCUGGCGCGAGCUGGCGCGAGAGCAUCAUCCCGACAAGGCGGCAGGCGACACCGAAGAAGCCGGCCGCCUCACGGCGCGCAUGGC
rnacentral:misc_RNA from 1 species